GGCCAGCAUGGUGUAGUGGUUGGAGCAUUGGAUUGUGACUUUGGAGACCAGGGUUGGAUUCCCUGCUUGGCCA